rnacentral:rRNA from 1 species
UACGUAGGGGGCAAGCGUUGUCCGGAAUUAUUGGGCGUAAAGAGCGCGUAGGCGGUCCGAUAAGUCGGCUGUGAAAGUCAGGGGCUCAACCCUUGAAAGCCGGCCGAUACUGUCGGACUAGAGUCCGGAAGAGGCAAGUGGAAUUCUUGGUGUAGCGGUGAAAUGCGUAGAUAUCAAGAGGAACACCUGCGGCGAAGGCGGCAUCCUGGACCGACACUGACGCUGAGGCGCGAAAGCUAGGGUAGCAAACGGG